CAAAAACAUCUCUCCUAGUAAGUUUAAUUGGGAGUAGGCCCUGCCCUGUGAUUAAGUUUUAACGGCAACGUUAAGUUUUAAAGUAGCGUGGUAAUUUGUCCCUUAAUUAGGGUCUGGUAUGAAUGGGUUGACGUGGAAGGGCUGUCUCGGGGGUAAUUUUUGAAAUUUUCUUUCCAGUGAAAAGCCUGGGAUGAGUUUAAAAGACGAGAAGACCCCGUCGAGCUUGAUUACCUAGGCGAAUUUUUACUUGGGUGAAGUUUUGUUGGGGCAAUAAGGGAGAAAAAAAACCUCCUGUUAUUUUUACAAGGAUCCACCUUUGGUGAAAAAAGGAAAAAGCUACCGCGGGGAUAACAGCGCAAAACCAUCUGAUAGGUCGUAUUGAAGUUGGUGAUUGCGACCUCGAUGUUGGAUUAGGGUAAACAGCUUGGCGCAGCAGCUUGGCGAAGUGGGACUGUUCGUCCUUUAAAUCCCUACAUGAUCUGA
rnacentral:rRNA from 1 species